GUCUACGGCCAUACCACCCUGAACGCGCCCGAUCUCGUCUGAUCUUGGAAGCUAAGCAGGGUCGGGCCUGGUUAGUACUUGGAUGGGAGAAAAAGAAAUAACAUGAAGCUAACU
rnacentral:rRNA from 1 species